rnacentral:rRNA from 1 species
CUGCGAGUGAAAUGGGAAAAGCUCAAAUUUAAAAUCUGAUGGUCUUUUUGGCUGUCCGAGUUGUAAUCUAGAGAAGUGCUACCUGCGCUGGACCAUGUACAAGUCUCCUGGAAUGGAGCAUCAUAGAGGGUGAGAAUCCCGUCUUUGACAUGGACUUACCAGGGCUUUGUGGUGUGCUCUCAAAGAGUCGAGUUGUUUGGGAAUGCAGCUCAAAAUGGGUGGUAAAUGCCAUCUAAAGCUAAAUAUUGGCGAGAGACCGAUAGCGAACAAGUACCGUGAGGGAAAGAUGAAAAGAACUUUGGAAAGAGAGUUAAACAGUACGUGAAAUUGCUGAAAGGGAAACGCUUGAAGUCAGUCGCAUUGGCUGGAAAUCAACCACUGCUUUUGCUUGGUGUACUUUCUGGCUGAUGGGUCAGCAUCAAUUUUGAUCGUUGGAUAAAGGCUUUGGGAAUGUGGCAUCUUAGGAUGUGUUAUAGCCCUUGGUCACAUACAGCGGUUGAGAUUGAGGAACUCAGCACGCCGCAAGGCUCGGGUUUUACCACGUUGUGUGCUUAGGAUGCUGGCAUAAUGGCUUUAAUCGACCCGUCUUGAAACACGGACCAAGGAGUCUAACAUGCAUGCGAGUGUUUGGGUGGAAAACCCAUGCGCGCAAUGAAAGUGAAAAGUUAAGAUCCCUGUCAUGGGGAGCAUUGACGCUCGGACCAGAUCUUUUGUGACGGAUCCGCGGUAGAGCAUGUAUGUUGGGACCCGAAAGAUGGUGAACUAUGCCUGAAUAGGGUGAAGCCAGAGGAAACUCUGGUGGAGGCUCGUAGCGAUUCUGACGUGCAAAUCGAUCGUCAAAUUUGGGUAUAGGGGCGAAAGACUAAUCG